UAAAAACGGGCGCCAUGGAAGUACAUGCCACUCAGCCAAAGAAAGAUAAUGGAGAGUUGACCAAAAUGAGCACUAAAUACUUUUCGGGAGAUCUCCUCCAAAUCACUGGUAUGACUAUCGAAAUCGUGAGCAUCAGCAUGUAGGUUCCAGAUCCAAGUGGUAGUAUCAGGGCCCUUAGCUAUUGUUCUUGAGAAAUGGCCGGGUCUGGCCCAUUCCUCGAAAGACGUUUUUACAGGAUCCCUAUCUACAACAAUUUUCACUUCUGGUUCCGGCGAACGAAUAAUCAUUAAGUCCNNNNNNNNNNUCUUUCCGGACAACAUAUACAAAGAAACCCGCCAACAGUCAAGUUUUUAGUGAACCUCUGAAAGAUAGAUAUUUUAUUUAUGAUUAGUCCUUUUCUUUCCUAUCCCCCAUCUAUCUAUUUUAUUUUAUUUUAUUUAGCUAUGUCAAUUCCAAUUAUCCCAAGACUUUAUUAUUUGUUUGUCGCAUAAAAAAACUUUUUGAAUGUCCGGUAGAAACCGAUUUUGCUAAAGAAAAAGCUUUUACUGCAGUUAAAUAUCCUUUUUUCUUCCAAAUAUUCCUACGAAUAUGUUUUUUUGAUAUAGAAAUACGUUUUUUUGGAACUGCCAUUCAAAAAAGGGUUACUCAUUUUUAUUUAUUGUUGUAUGUGAAAGACAUAUAUUGUUCGGAAUAGAUCGUUUUUUUAAAUCAUUAUCUAUACUUUAUUCUGUGAAUAAUAGUUUUUUUUUACUUUCAACAUUUAACAUAAAAAACAAAUAACAUAAAAUAAGAAAUAAAUUAUAUAUAUAAUUUAUUAUAUAUAUAUUAUUUUAACCGGCAUGAGCUAAUAGCUUAGUAAAAAUCCUCAUAUAUACACCAGCAUAAAUAAUUUAAAAUUAGAAAAUUAUAAAUAAUUGUUAUCGGAGUAGACACAAAUACCAUAAAAUCAUAUACAAACCAUCCAACAUCACUCAUAUAACCAGCACACGCACAUGCAUAUUAUAUCAUUGGACAAUCAUUAUUUUCAAAUGUGAUGUAGCAUAUAUUAUCAAAGAAAUCUUUCUAUUUAAUAGUAGUUUUAAAUAACUUAUCUUUUAUUUUUCACUAACAGGAUUCAGAUCCGACAAUAGUUAACAUUUUGUUUUUUAGACUAACCAUGGUUAUGCUUUUGCCUAUGACUAGCAAACCAAAAUAUCAUAUUCCUACUCGGUAAAGAGGCUAUCCACAAUGCAUGUUCCUACCCAUGAUUAGAGUUGAUCAUGGGUUGGAAUUGGGCACAGAAAAGACCAAAUUUUAAAUAGGCUCAACCCUAAGCCUAAUUAAAAAUGAAUAGAGUUUAGACCUGGGGCCCGGCCUGUGAUCAGCUCUACCCGUGAUGAGGCUAUCCAUGGUGCCAUUUUUCUGCCUGUGAUAAAGUUAUCCAAAAUACUAUGUUCUUACCUUUGAUGAGGCUAUCUGCAUUAUUGUGGCUAGUCCAAAAAUCACUUUUCUCCACCAUCAGGUUAUUUAAUACGAGUAAUAUAUAAUUUAAUAAUAUAUUUCUUUCGAAACUUCAAUGAAACUAGCAUCCUAUUUCGAGCAAUGGAAAAUCAUCAAUGUCUGACACAUAUAUACUACAUCAUACUGACAAUCAUGAGAGGAACAUAAAAUCAUAUCCAAUGCAAAACUAAAAAUUCUUUAUACAUGAUACAUAAAGUCAUAUCUAUAAAUUUUCAUUAAAUCAGAAACAACUUUUCAACAUCAGCAAAGUAGAGCUUUUGGAAAAAUGUUCCAAAAUGAUGUUCUUCUGGAUGAACAUCUAAAUAUUUCUUAUAGGUUGAAGGGUUGAUCUCCAAGAAACAGGUCCACCAUAUAUGCAGAAAACAUAACUUGUAGUAGACCUUCUUAUAUUCAGAUCACCUGCAAAGUUAGCAGCAACAAAUUCUUCUAAUGGGUCAGAAAACUCACUUAAGACAUUGGAGUUACUCCUAGGUUCAUCUUGCUGCCCAAAAACCAGACCAAGCCUUUGAGUUCCUUGAAGAUAUCGAAAGAUCCACUUCAAUGCCUUCCAGUGAUCCUUUCUAGGGUUUGCCAUGUACCUGUUUACCUAGCUUACUGCAUGUGCUAUGUCUGACCUACAACACAUCAUAGCAUAUAUCACGCUGCCCACUGCACUGGCAUAUGGAACUCUCUCCAUGUACUCUUUCUCUUCAUCUGUUUGGGAGAACUGUGGCUUAGAAAGAGAUAUGUGGCUUGCUAAAGGUGUUCCAACUGGUUUGGCCUUAUUCAUCCCAAACCUCUCUAACAUCUUCUGAAUGUAUCAUUUCAAUGAUAAGUGAAGAAUACCCUUGCUCCUAUCUCGGCGAAUUUCCAUCCCAAGUAUCUUUUUGGAUGGACCCAAGUUCUUCAUCUCAAACUC
rnacentral:lncRNA from 1 species